rnacentral:lncRNA from 1 species
GUGAUCCAUUUAUUCCUCUAGCAACACUUUAAAGGAUAUAUUAUCCCUAUUUUAUAGUUAGAGGAAUUAAUAUAACUAUUUUACAGAUGAAGAAUAUGAACAAGAAAGAGGUCAAUUAACCAGCUUAAGACAACAUAGACUAUAAAUGGCAGGGCUAAGAUUUAAAUUAACAAAUAUUAAAUUCCAAACUCUGGGCUUUUCCUACUGAUCCCUAGUAAAAUGAAGUAUGUUGAAAACCAUGUAGGAUCAAUACUUGUGUUUGUAUCUUUUCAGCAGUCAACUGGGCAGAUUCAGCAUUUUAAAAUAGUUUUAAUAUCGCAGUUCUUAGGUUUAAUAAAACCAUUCCCCUAAAACAUGGUCACAAAUGCUAUGUCCCUUAACAAAUUAAUUCAACAACCACCACCACAACAAGUAUUUAUUCAGGGCUUACUAUGUGCCAGGGCAUCUUCUGAGGAUAUAACAUACCUCAAUUAACAAGAAAUGGAAAUCAAAACUUUUUACCAAAACUUUUAAUUGAUGAUCUCUUUCAACAGAAUUUGUGACUGAAAUGAAUCUUGAAACCUCAUUUCUGUUCUUCAUUAUGCUAAGAGCUGGUUAUAUCAUUUUACGGAAAUUGUGACUAAGCAUGAAAGAAGCCCAGAGGCUCGUGCAGAUGGUGCCAAUAGCAAAUAACAUUAACCUCUAAAUUCUUCUUGGUCUAUGGGUGAAGGGACUUGUUGGAAGGGUUAUUUCUGACCUUUUGAUUGGACUUACUGUUUCCCAGACUUACUGUUUUGAUCGGACUUACUGUUUUGAUCGGACUUACUGUUUCCUUACUGGGUUGGAGAACCCAGCAUCCAGUGGGCUAUUCUAUCAGCCAGUGAACUCCUGAUGACAGAAAAACAAGAAACAGGCCCCAAUCUGUUUAUUUUUCUAGAUGCCUAACUUAUUCAUCAAUUAGAAGGGCCAAUGCUUUAACCUGUCUCUUCUCAGCAGUGAAAAGAAAGAAAAAAAGACUAAGCCAGGAAACCUCUUGAAGGCCCAGAGAAGUAGGCACGUAUAUAAGAUGCCCAGACUGGAGCUGCCACAUAGGAGACACUUGGUGAGCUCUCAAGGAAGAUUGGAUGUCUAUGGAGAAUCCACGUACCUAUAUCAUAUUAGUUGGAGCAAAACACAGACUCUGGGAUGAAAGGCAAAAGUGUUAUAAUGAGGCCAAUGGAAUGUGCUGAAUCCGUUCCUCAAAGAAAAACAAAACCAAAUAUCUCUCCAAGUCUGGAUUAUACCAGAGUUUCCAAAUCAUAAACAACCAAUGAAAAAGGGAUCAUAUCAUUAUGCGUUUCUACAAGGCCUUACUGAGGUAAGAUGAUGGAAUAAUGAUGACUGCGUUUUUUGGAGGAAGCUUAUCGUGCCCUGUGAGAGAGUUUAAAUGUGUAUUUAGUGUUUGAAAGACUUCCCACAUAUGAGAGAGACACUCAACAAAAAGUAAUUGUGUCUUGAAUAAUUUUUACACCACCGACAGAGACAAAAAAUGACCAUCUAUUUAUAUUUCUAAGAAUUAUUCUUUUUCAUUGUGUUCAUAAAAUGUGGUUUCUUGAAUGUCUAGAAGAAAUGUCAUCCCUAAAUAUUUAAUAAUAUUGGGUUUCCAACUUGAAAAGAAGAAAAAAUUGAAAGAAAAAGAGAAUACUUUCAGUGGCAAUUAUUUGAAUUUUUGAUGCCUGCUUCCUUUUCCAAAGACAGUAAUUGCUUCUUAACAAAUUAAUCUGGCUGUAUAUAUUCAGCUUUCUGGUUAGCCUUUGCCAUUUUCAUCUGGUGAUGUCCCUUUUAUAAAAUUUAUGGGGCUCAUUUUAUAAAAUUGUGGAGAUUUGCUUAGUAUGUUUGGAAUUGGUAUGUCUUUCUCUCUCUAGCUCUGCUCUCGGAAUAGCUCUAACCCCCCCAAAAGGGCAAGAACCGGUUUUAAUAAUGCAGAAUUAUGCCUCUUUACUAACUACUGAAUACGCUUUAUUUCGGAUGCCAAACCAGGUACUCAGAAGUUUAACAUCAUAAAUCUUAAAAUCAUAAAUCAGACAAGGUAACUUUCUAGUAUAUGUUUCAUGAUGAAAGGUAAAAUACUAAUGGUGCUAUAUAAACAUGACAUUCUCUAAAUUGAAUAUAGUGUGCAAUUUUCAUGGCUUUGUUUUAAAAUUUAAUGCUUGAGAAUAAUCAUUUUAUUUAUUGGGCCUCUAAACUAAGUGCAUUUAGGCAGUGAAGAAAGUUGUUUGGUACCAGGUAAAUGAGCAGGUUUCUUUCUUCACUGGAAGACAAACUUCUGAAUUACUGAUAGGCAUUUCAGUCUUAACAAAAGCUACACUUACAAUUUUCUGAACAAUUGUUGUGAGAUUUCACACAUUGAUCAAAACACUGAUUCAAAAUACUCUCAUUGUAAUUGGUUUGUGGCCCUUUUGUACCUUUUUGCUGCUACUGGACCAUUGCUGGCCACUGGACCAAUGUCAAGUCAUGUUUUGGUGUCUUCUCUUUGGAGAAAUCAAACCACUCCAUGAACAUUGACACCUACAUGGCCUUUUUCAACAAGUUAGCCAUUGGUUCACAACCAAUUCUGGUUCUUGCUCUAAUAUUAAUUAUUUUGUGUUACUGAUCAAGUUGAUUAACUGCUCAGGGCUCUAGUUUUCUUAUUUAUAAAAUGCAGGGGUCUGAUGGUGUUUUCUAAAAUCCUUUCCAGCUCUGAAAUGCUAUCACUUUAUAGGAUCAAAUGAAAUAAUAUUAAGUACUGUCUGAACACAGAGGCUAAUAAUGUAGAUGAAGCUGAUAAAAGGAGGGAAAAGGGUUGAAAGUUUUCACCUAUUUAGCCACAGAAUUAUUAAUUAUGCCAGGAUUUCAAAUAUUCUCUGCUAAGAGGAAGGAGUGCCAGGGAAUGAUCUUUAAUAACAUGGUUCUACAAUGCUACUCAUUUUCUAUAAUAUAUAUUUAAGAUUGAUAUUGCUAUUUCUGGCACCU